rnacentral:lncRNA from 1 species
CUGCUGCCCGUAGGGUUCCCGGAUGCCGAGUAGGAAUAGAUGUGGCUGUUAUUGCUACCACUGCUGUCACAGCCUGGGAGCCUUGCUGAGACUCAGGCAAAAAUGUGAGUCCAGAAAGGCCAUAGCUCUUUAUGGCACGGUUUUCUGGCUCGACCCAACUGGUCCUCCCGCUCGCCCACGAGUUCACACACAAAGAUUACAAAAAGCCAGCCUGAGGCUGAGCUGCAGUCGGUGCCCAUCCUUUCUGUGACAAGGAAUGUCUUCAAUCUCUGUUCCUCAGUUUUGUCAUCUUAAAAGAGGGGCUUCUGGAGUGCUGGGUAGGCCAGAGGUAAUAGACAGAGGGCAUCUAGCACAGGACUUUCCGAUCGUGAAUGCUCAAUAAACCAAAGUUCUUAAUGGUAUGGGCUCUAAUAAAGUCUCUCUGGAAAUGACACAUUUUUUUCCUUUUAUAAAAAGUUUGGAUGAAAAGGAGGCCUUAAAAUGUGUGUGUGGGGAGGGGUGGCCAGUGUCAUAUGGCUGCUUGUUGGCAAGGUUGCUACUAAAAUGUCAUUCUCUAA